rnacentral:rRNA from 1 species
CCUACGGGUGGCAGCAGUGGGGAAUAUUGUACAAUGGGGGAAACCCUGAUGCAGCGACGCCGCGUGAGUGAAGAAGUAUUUCGGUAUGUAAAGCCCUAUCAGCAGGGAAGAAAAUGACGGUACCUGAUUAAGAAGCCCCGGCUAACUACGUGCCAGCAGCCUCGGUAAUCCGGAGGGGGCAAGCGUUAUCCGGAUUUACUGGGUGUAAAGGGAGCGUAGACGGCAGCACAAGUCUGGAGUGAAAUGCCGGAGCUUAACCCAUGAACUGCUUUGGAAACUGUGCAUAUAGAGUGCAGGAGAGGUAAGUUGCAUUCCUGGUGUAGCGGUGACAUGCGUAGAGAUUAGGAGGAAAACCAGUGGCGAAGGCGACUUACUGGACUGUAACUGACGUUGAGGCUCGAAAGCGUGGGGAGCAAACAGGAUUAGAUACCCGUGUAGUC